UCUCCGUUGGUGAACCUGCGGAGGGAUCAUUACCGAGUUUACAACUCCCAAACCCAAUGUGAACCAUACCAAACUGUUGCCUCGGCGGGGUCACGCCCCGGGUGCGUCGCAGCCCCGGAACCAGGCGCCCGCCGGAGGGACCAACCAAACUCUUUCUGUAGUCCCCUCGCGGACGUUAUUUUUACAGCUCUGAGCAAAAAUUCAAAAUGAAUCAAAACUUUCAACAACGGAUCUCUUGGUUCUG
rnacentral:misc_RNA from 1 species